rnacentral:rRNA from 1 species
CCAGACUCCUACGGGAGGCAGCAGUGGGGAAUAUUGCGCAAUGGGCGAAAGCCUGACGCAGCGACGCCGCGUGGGUGAAGGAGCACCUCGGUGCGUAAAGCCCUAUCGGCAGGGAAGAAAAGCGAACAGGUUCGCCUGGACGGUACCUGACUAAGAAGCCCCGGCUAACUACGUGCCGGCAGCCGCGGUAAUACGUAGGGGGCAAGCGUUAUCCGGAUUCACUGGGUGUAAAGGGAGCGUAGACGGCUAUGCAAGUCUGGAGUGAAAGGCGGGGGCCCAACCCCCGGACUGCUCUGGAAACUGUAGAGCUAGAGUGCAGGAGAGGUAAGUGGAAUUCCUAGUGUAGCGGUGAAAUGCGUAGAUAUUAGGAGGAACACCAGUGGCGAAGGCGGCUUACUGGACUGUAACUGACGUUGAGGCUCGAAAGCGUGGGGAGCAAACAGGAUUAGAUACCCGCGUAA